rnacentral:rRNA from 1 species
GACGUAGGGCGCGAGCGUUGUCCGGAUUUAUUGGGCGUAAAGAGCUCGUAGGCGGCUUGUCGCGUCGUCCGUGAAAACUUGGGGCUCAACCCCAAGCUUGCGGUCGAUACGGGCAGGCUAGAGUUCGGUAGGGGAGACUGGAAUUCCUGGUGUAGCGGUGAAAUGCGCAGAUAUCAGGAGGAACACCGGUGGCGAAGGCGGGUCUCUGGGCCGAUACUGACGCUGAGGCGCGAAAGCAUGGGGAGCGAACGGG